rnacentral:SRP_RNA from 1 species
GGGUGCAGUGGCUUGUGCCAGUAGUACCAACACCUUGGGAGGUUGAGGCUGUAGGAUUGCUUGAGCUCAGGGGUUUUGUGCUGCAGUGGGCCACACUGAUCACAUGUCCACACUAAGGUCAGCAUCGAUAUGGUGACCUGUGAGAAGCUGUAGGUUACCACGUUGUCUAAGAAGGGGUGAACCGGCCGAGGUGAGGAAUGCAGCAGGCCAAAGCUCCUGUGUUGAGGAGUAGUGGGAUUGCACCUGUGAUUGGUCCCUACAGCACAGUCUGGGCAAGAAAGUGAGGAUGAUUUCA